AUGUGCCUGCAAGAAGAGAAGAUUUUUGUAAUUUCACUAAAUCCAAAGUCUUUGCUCUGCCUUUUUGUGGCCACCGCUGGGUCGAGAACCUCCCAGUAGUAGAAAGGGCCCUCAACAUCUGGCCAGACAUGAUAAAGUAUGUCGAGGCUGUCACAACCAAAAAGCUCCCUCACCCUGGGACUUCCUCCUACGACACCAUUGUGGCGGCAACCAAAGACCCUCUCAUCCCGGCCAAGUUGCAUUUCUUCAUGGCGGUCUCACGAAGCAUGACACCUUUUCUCACCAAAUACCAGACUGCUGAGCCUGUGCUGCCUUUCUUUGGAAACGACAUGGCAGAGCUGCUGAAGACUUUGCUGAGGCGAUUUAUGAAAAGAUAACUUCUCCAUGAUGUUACGCCACUACAGUUGGUCCGGCUUGAUGUUACUGACACGCAGUCUAGGGUUCAUCCAAGAGCUGUUGACAUUGGCAUUGGAGCAGAGUCUGUUCUGAAGGUGAUCUAAUCAUCCAGCAGUUUUCACAGUUUCUAUCCCUGGAGGUAAGGAAUGAGGAGUUCCUGUCCUUCAAGCCCUUGGAGAAGAGGCUGGACAUGUUCCUUCAUCAUUUCAUCAACGAGCCCUACCCGGAGCUCUGGGCUUUCCAUCAAAAGCUUUUACUCCUCUCUCAUGGCCAAGCUACCGUGGAGAGGGGGUUCUCCAUCAAUAAAGAAAUUGAGAUCUGCAAUAUUCAGGAGGAAACCGUCAUUGCAAAUAGAAUUGUCUGUGAUUAUGUGUCCCUACAUGGGGGGGUUAUUAAGGUCCCUCUCACACCGGAGCUCAUGUCCUCUGUUAUAGCAGCUAGGACCAGAUCCCGAAUCCAUCUUGAGAAUGAGAGAAGAAAGAAGGAAUCCGAGGCAAAGGGACAGAAAAGAAGGGCCAUGGAGGAGCACCUGGAGCAACUUAAAAAGAGUAGAAGAGCCAUCCAGGAAGUGUCUGAAGGUCUGGCCAGAGAUGCUGACAAGUUAGCGGACGAGGCUGAGGGCAAGCAAGUUGGC